CCUGGCUCAGGACGAACGCUGGCGGCGUGCCUAAUACAUGCAAGUCGAACGAAGCUUUCUUUCACCGAAUGCUUGCUUCACCGAAAGAAGCUUAGUGGCGAACGGGUGAGUAACACGUAGGCAACCUGCCCAAAAGAGGGGGAUAACACUUGGAAACAGGUGCUAAUACCGCAUAACCAUGAACACCGCAUGAUGUUCAUGUAAAAGACGGCUUUUGCUGUCACUUUUGGAUGGGCCUGCGGCGUAUUAACUUGUUGGUGGGGUAACGGCCUACCAAGGUGAUGAUACGUAGCCGAACUGAGAGGUUGAUCGGCCACAUUGGGACUGAGACACGGCCCAAACUCCUACGGGAGGCAGCAGUAGGGAAUCUUCCACAAUGGACGAAAGUCUGAUGGAGCAACGCCGCGUGAAUGAAGAAGGCCUUCGGGUCGUAAAAUUCUGUUGUCAGAGAAGAACGUGCGUGAGAGUAACUGUUCACGUAUUGACGGUAUCUGACCAGAAAGCCACGGCUAACUACGUGCCAGCAGCCGCGGUAAUACGUAGGUGGCGAGCGUUGUCCGGAUUUAUUGGGCGUAAAGGGAACGCAGGCGGUCUUUUAAGUCUGAUGUGAAAGCCUUCGGCUUACCCGAAGUAGUGCAUUGGAAACUGGAAGACUUGAGUGCAGAAGAGGAGAGUGGAACUCCAUGUGUAGCGGUGAAAUGCGUAGAUAUAUGGAAGAACACCAGUGGCGAAAGCGGCUCUCUGGUCUGUAACUGACGCUGAGGUUCGAAAGCGUGGGUAGCAAACAGGAUUAGAUACCCUGGUAGUUCACGCCGUAAACGAUGAGUGCUAAGUGUUGGAGGGUUUCCGCCCUUCAGUGCUGCAGCUAACGCAUUAAGCACUCCGCCUGGGGAGUACGGUCGCAAGACUGAAACUCAAAGGAAUUGACGGGGGCCCGCACAAGCGGUGGAGCAUGUGGUUUAAUUCGAAGCAACGCGAAAAACCUUACCAGGUCUUGACAUCUUCUGACAAUUCCAGAGAUGGAACGUUCCCUUCGGGGACAGAAUGACAGGUGGUGCAUGGUUGUCGUCAGCUCGUGUCGUGAGAUGUUGGGUUAAGUCCCGCAACGAGCGCAACCCUUAUCGUCAGUUGCCAUCAUUAAGUUGGGCACUCUGGCGAGACUGCCGGUGACAAACCGGAGGAAGGUGGGGAUGACGUCAAAUCAUCAUGCCCCUUAUGACCUGGGCUACACACGUGCUACAAUGGACGGUACAACGAGUCGCUAACUCGCGAGGGCAAGCUAAUCUCUUAAAGCCGUUCUCAGUUCGGACAGCAGGCUGCAACUCGCCUGCAUGAAGUCGGAAUCGCUAGUAAUCGCGAAUCAGCAUGUCGCGGUGAAUACGUUCCCGGGCCUUGCACACACCGCC
rnacentral:rRNA from 1 species